CAGCAGGGGCGCUGGCGGAAGCCGGCUGAGACGUACCCUUUGACCUGAUCCGGAUAAUGCCGGCGUAGGAAGCGAGAGA
rnacentral:ncRNA from 1 species